GAUGAACGCUGGCGGCGUGCCUAAUACAUGCAAGUCGAGCGAACAGACGAGGAGCUUGCUCCUCUGACGUUAGCGGCGGACGGGUGAGUAACACGUGGAUAACCUACCUAUAAGACUGGGAUAACUUCGGGAAACCGGAGCUAAUACCGGAUAACAUGUUGAACCGCAUGGUUCAACAGUGAAAGACGGUCUUGCUGUCACUUAUAGAUGGAUCCGCGCCGCAUUAGCUAGUUGGUAAGGUAACGGCUUACCAAGGCAACGAUGCGUAGCCGACCUGAGAGGGUGAUCGGCCACACUGGAACUGAGACACGGUCCAGACUACUACGGGAGGCAGCAGUAGGGAAUCUUCCGCAAUGGGCGAAAGCCUGACGGAGCAACGCCGCGUGAGUGAAGAAGGUCUUCGGAUCGUAAAACUCUGUUAUUAGGGAAGAACAAAUGAGUAAGUAACUAUGCACGUCUUGACGGUACCUAAUCAGAAAGCCACGGCUAACUACGUG
rnacentral:rRNA from 1 species